UGAGUAUGUUUAUUUAAUAGCUACAUGUAAUUUAUUGAACUGCUAUAUCCAAAGAUGCUGGUCACACAACCCACCACAGGGUCUCGGUGGUUUCCCCUUGCUGUUGUGUGACCUGCUGGAAUCUGCAGGUGACUGCGCUGCCCGCCAUCCCAAGCGGCUAUAGACUGUCCAACUACGGUUUCUACAGAGUAUCCUUGCUGUCACACUCUAAUAAAGUUGAAACAUCUUGGACAAUCUGUAUACGGAAGUAGUUGAAUUUGAGGAAGUUAAGUAGAAAAUGUCUGAUGUGGCUGCUGUGAGAAUAUUGUAAAAGAUUAGAAAUAGGGAAACAGAAGUAAGACUGGCAGGCAACACUGAAGGCCCUGCUCCUGAGGACUGGCGAGCAAGCAUUACCAUGGAAGAAAUCCUCACCGUUACGGCCUUUUCUCUGGCACCCCUCGGCGGGCAAGAUCAGAGAAAGAAAUGAUGGAGUCAGGUGGAGUCAAGAAGGCCUGUCAGGCAGGCAUUUUUCAGCACCUUUUCCUGCCUACACUCGGAACGUAAAAGCCAUUUCCAGUGCUGAGGACGGAAGGCACGAGGAUGCUGGCCCCGCGCUCAGUCCGAAGCGGACUUGCACAAGAGCCUGAACAGAAGGUUGCUGGCCUCUGAUCUGCAGAGCUGGAGCUUCAUAGAUACAUGUGCACAAAACAGUAGGCGAUAGUGCUGGACGGGUCUCACUUCCCUGACAAGCCUACGGAAAUUAAGGUAAUUUGUAGUAUACUGACUGGUUUUCUGAAAACCAAUUUACUUUUUGUUUUAUUGGUACAGGCCUGCAGUACAUAAUGAUCACAUUCAUUGUGGGGAGUUGAUACUUGAAUUAACACAGCCCAAUUAAUUUUUUAUUCCCCUCUCUCCUCCUUCUCCCUCCUCCCAUCUCUUGGACCCCUUCCCUUCUGCAAACUGUUUCCUAUUAUCUAUGAAAAUCAACUUAAGCAUAGGUAGCUUUUUUUUUUUUUUUCAUUACUGAGGAUUGAAUCGAGAGCCUCUUACAUGCUGGCUAAGUAUUCUAGCAUUAAGCUACAUGUCUAGUCUUUAAAAAAUAAAAAAAAAAAAAACUUUGAGGCAGGGUCUUGAUAAGUUGCCCAGGUUGGGCUUUAACUUGUGAUCCUCCUGUCUCAGCCUCCUGACUAGCUGAGAUUACAGCCACCAUGUCUGCCUUACCGUACAGGUAGUCUGCUCAAAUUAUGACUUAAUAAUAGAAAUACUGCCUGCUAUGCUAGCAGUUAAACAGCGCUUAUAAGGAUAAAGCCACAAAUAUUGUUCACAAUUCUCUUAGUUACUUUCUCAUUGCAGGGACAAAAUACCCAACACUCACCAGUUAGAAGAAAAAAAGUUCACAGUACUUCAUCUCACAGUUUGUAGCAGUUUUGUCCAUAGCCAGCUAGCUGCAAGGCAAGGCAGCAUGGCAGAGGGGCAUGACACAGA
rnacentral:lncRNA from 1 species